CAACACCGAACCACGAUCAACCAGAUCGAAACACAUGAUAAAAGAGUCGAUGUGUUGCCUGGACCCAAAGUCCACAGAGUCGAAUCGACCAACAAGGUCAUUGAUACGAAGUACGAGAACCGACCAAUCAGGUCCACAGAUAUGAAAUGCAACAACCGACCAACCAGGUCAACAGAUAUGCAUAUAGAUAGAACUACUCUACUCCUACUCAGAAUACCAAGCAUGCAAACAAUGAGUAGAGUAUACUGGAAAAAUCAUGGGUGCAAGACUCAAUAUAUACUAUGCAAUAGUAACAACAGAAGAGUAAGGGUAAGAAACCAUCACCGAGCGUGCACCACUGUACCAACGUCGGAUCGAAGUACCCACCUGUCACUGUCGCGUCGGAACACUGGGUAUGCACAAGUCAACCGGACCUACGAAGAUCCACCAGGUCAGUAUCCAACCCACUAACCUGAAGUACGAGACUCACAAACCUCCACAAAAGAUCCUUGUAAUCGGUUUACCAAAACCAAUCACCGUAACUCAC
rnacentral:lncRNA from 1 species